rnacentral:rRNA from 1 species
GAUGAACGCUGACAGAAUGCUUAACACAUGCAAGUCAACUUGAAUUUGGGUUUUUAACUUCGGUUUGGGUGGCGGACGGGUGAGUAACGCGUAAAGAACUUGCCUCACAGCUAGGGACAACAUUUGGAAACGAAUGCUAAUACCUAAUAUUAUGAUAAUAGGGCAUCCUAUAAUUAUGAAAGCUAUAAGCGCUGUGAGAGAGCUUUGCGUCCCAUUAGCUAGUUGGAGAGGUAACGGCUCACCAAGGCGAUGAUGGGUAGCCGGCCUGAGAGGGUGAUCGGCCACAAGGGGACUGAGACACGGCCCUUACUCCUACGGGAGGCAGCAGUGGGGAAUAUUGGACAAUGGACCAAGAGUCUGAUCCAGCAAUUCUGUGUGCACGAUGAAGUUUUUCGGAAUGUAAAGUGCUUUCAGUUGGGAAGAAAGAAAUGACGGUACCAACAGAAGAAGAGACGGCUAAAUACGUG